rnacentral:misc_RNA from 1 species
GAUGAAGAACGCAGCGAAAUGCGAUAAGUAGUGUGAAUUGCAGAAUUCAGUGAAUCAUCGAAUCUUUGAACGCACAUUGCGCCCCUUGGUAUUUCAUGGGGCAUGCCUGUUCGAGCGUCAUUUGUACCUUCAAGCUCUGCUUGGUGUUGGGUGUUUGUCUCGCCUCUGCGUGUAGACUCGCCUCAAAACAAUUGGCAGCCGGCGUAUUGAUUUCGGAGCGCAGUACAUCUCGCGCUUUGCACUCAUAACGACGACGUCCAAAAGUACAUUUUUACACUCUUGACCUCGGAUCAGGUAGGGAUACCCGCUGAACUUAAGCAUAUCAAUAAGCGGAGGA